UGCCGUCACAGAGGGUGUGUGCCUAUCUGUUUUGGUCAGUUACACCCUCAACAUGUUGUCAUUCUGUGACUGGGCAACAGAGAUAACCAUUCACACUCACAUCUUCUGCCACUUUAAGAAAACAGGAAGCAGCUGCCAACCAACUCCAGUUUUCAGCCCUUACCUCAAAGGACACCAGAGGACACAAACCAAAGAGCUGAACAUCUUCAGACCCUUACAUCAGAGUGUGUCUAAGAUGAAACUGAUGUUGGUCACAGCCAGUCUCUGUAUAGCACAUCUGGGUCCAGCUUUCUCGCUCUCUAAACCUCUGGAGGACAUGUGAACCCUUGUGAGAGAAGAUUGCAUUAGGCCACAUGGAAAUGGAAAUGGAGGAAGGAGUCUGCACUUUUCAUAAGAGGACAGUACGUUUGUGCCAGCAGCAGUUGGGGCCUGUUUGAUAAACCGUGCCCUGUUUCUUCUUACGAAGGGAACAUUGGAUAUAGGUAAACUUGACCGUCAUGACAACACCAGUGCAGUGUCACGUCACUAUGCUUAUUGCAUUCUGCUGUUCUUUGGAUAAACACUGGAAUCAUCUUCUUUGGGUUUCCAUUUCAUGCUUUUUAAAGUAAAAAACUGCAGAAUUGCUGCUGUACAUCAUAACAAUGUUGGAAGUGUUGUUGCAAAUAACCAUCACUGAUUACCACUGAUUGCGGAUUCCUAGAAUUCCUCUCAACUAUCCCAGUAUUCAUGUCAAAUAUUUUCCAUCUGUUAUUAAUCAUAUGAAAAUGUAUGUAAAUCUGAUAUCAUGAGCUUGGUGAGUAAUGUGUUGCAUUUAGUUGCUUGUUUAUGUGAACACUAAUUGACACAGAGGCACAACCAAGUGACUGGGAUAGUGCACAUGAACAUCUGUGCCACAUAUGGACUACUAAGUACCCUAGUCCCGAUGGAAGACGCCCCCAAAGGUGGUUGAGAACAACAAGGACCUUCAUUCCAGACAGACAAGCAUCUGUUGGCCAACCAACCACACAUAGUGGUGGCUGAAAAGGAACAGAAGACCACAGUUGUGACAGAUGUGGCAAUCUUAGCAGAGAGCAGCAUCAGGAAGAAGGAGCACAUUUAAUUCAGCGUGAUACCGUGACAGGAUGCCACCUGUGCAACAAGUCCAGUCGUGAACUUUCCUCACUGCUGAAUAUUCCACUGUUAGCGGUAUUUUAACAAAGUGAUUGAGAAUUCCAGCGACUCAGCUGUGGUAGGCAAUGUAAAAUCACGGAGGUCUGCAACUUUCUGGAGAGUUAAUCGCUAUAGACUUCUAAACUUCAUGUGGCCUUCAAAUUAGCUCAAGUACAGUGGGUAGAGAGCUUCACGGAACGGCUCUGCAUCCAAGCCUUACAUCACCAAGUGCAAUGCAAAGCGUAGGAUGCAGCGGUGUAAAGCACACCACCACUGGAGCGGAGACAUGUUUGAUGUGUCCGCAUCAAUAGCCGUCUUCACAGAAGUGCUUCUGUAGGAAUAAAAUGCACUUCUGGAGAUUCACAGAAGAGUUGAAGCUGCUAUAUUAAACCCUGUGGAUUCAAGAUGGGAUGUCACUCAAGUUCAUAUGCAUUCAAAGGCAGAUCAGUGAAUACUUUUGGGAAUAUUUUGUUAGUUUUUAUUCAUUUACAUCACUGACAUCAAUGCAUCAUGUUCGGCUUUUUGGCUGAUGAAAUAAAGGGGGGGGGG